GUGUUCACUUUGGCAGCAUAUAUACUAAAUUUGGAAUGAUACAGAGAAGAUUAACAUGACCCCUGCAUGAGGAUUACAUGCAAAUUUUUUUUUUUUUUUU
rfam:Tupaia chinensis contig197800, whole genome shotgun sequence.